rnacentral:lncRNA from 1 species
AAGACUUCUCCAAUGCAACAAUCAAAAUUGAAAGGUGUAGUUAUGCCUCAACUAGUAGUGUCAGUGUCGGUGUGAUAGCAAGCUCAUUCAACAACAAGGGCAAUGGCAUCCAAAACUUUAGCAAUGCCACAAUCAUAAUCAUCGGCAACUGUUGUGGCUCACUUGGUUUGCAUGGUAUCAUAUUUUACUGCUUAUUCCUUAGAGUUCUUGUUACACUACUGCUUAUCCCAACUAGAGAUCAACAUCUCCAUCUAACAAUACUGGAUUCAACUUGAUCCAAGGUUGAGGUCAAUUCUCCUUCAAGGGGCACUGCACUCGCCAAUAACAUUCAUUUAUGAUCCUCCAUAAUCUUCUCACCUACCAUGUCUAUGUCUUCUACCACCAGAUUCAAUUUUCGCCACAUCUUUGUAUGUUCCUCUUUCACUCACCAUGCUGGUUUAUAUUCAAUUUUUCUAUUUAAAAUAUAUAUGAACAUGCAUGCUCUUGUUUUUGUGCUCAACACCAGAAUCUCCACGUACUAAAGAUCUACAUUGAGUGAAAUAGAAAACAAAAAAAGUAGAAAACUAUAGGAAUGAAGAGUUGAUGCAAUUUUAUUCUUAUAUAAAUUACAUUAGAAAGUUUGCAACAGUUUUAUCCUAACAAAAUAUUUCUCUUAAUUAUGGUCAAUAUAAGACCUGCGAAAGUGUGUUUUUAUCUUAUUGUAUGAUUCUCAACAUUUGUGAGAAUUCCAACUUUAUGUCAAUUUAUGCAUGAUAUAAAUGAAGGACAGAAAAUUCCCAACAUUUGUGAGGAUUCCAACUUUAUGCCAAUUUAUGCAUGAUAUAAAUGAAUGACAAAAGUUGGAGUAAAUAGUUUCAUUAUAUAUGUGGGUCCUGGUUUGAUUAUUGAUAUCUAGAAGAUACUUUCUAAAAUAUCUAACUAGGAAUAUUCAGAAGAUUUUAGUAGUUUUGCUUUAUGAUGAAAGGUGUAUUUUAUAGGUUAUGGAUGUUUUUCUUUUUUACUCUGGGAUGCUAUACAAUACCAUCUAUUCUUUAAAGUUAUUAAGUCUGUACUAUCUUUAAUAAAUUUCAAAUAAGGAGUUAUUCCAUACUCUUUUUCUUCUCUUUAGGAAUAUUCUGUUAGUUUUAUUAGAUUUGUAUAUUAAUGAUUAGUAUAUCAUAAGUGAGGUAAUAUGGAAAAUGCUUUCUCUACCAAAUUGCUAUCUUCAACUAUAACUCUUGACUUUAAUGCAAUGUCGCGAGGUACAUGUAUUGUAGUUUAUCCACCUCUGGAAGGUUCUUAAUACAUAUCUUUUGAGACCUGAUGUUGGGUUUCGGUAAUUGAGUCUGCAAAUGUGCUUAAUCCAUCAAAUUGUGCCCAAAUCCUUCAUAGAUGGUCUUAAACAUUUUGUUUGAUAUAUUUGGGAUUUGUGCUGUGAUUAACUUUAAUUCCUUAUGAUUCAAGAAAAAGUGAUUCUAGUAAUAUGACAUUUUAUAUAAUACGUGCUAAAAUAUUAUUAAAAAAUUCACUGAAAGUAUUGAAAUUUCGUGUACAUGUAUGAAGGCAUUGUCCUGACUAACUAAUGGUUUUAUAUUUGAUGUCUUACAGGAAGUCGAAGUAUUGAACACGGUGUUGUAAACUCAUUCAACAACGAAGGCAAUGGGUUACAGGACUUCAGCAAUUCAACAAUCAUAGUUGGAAGUUGUAGCUGUACCUCAACUUGUGUGGAACUGAAGACUUAUCAAACGGGUUUGAUUAAGAAAAACAUUGAAACUGGAUGAGGCAUGUUAAACCUUUGAGAUGAGGCCAUAAUGUUUUCAAACAGUUAUUGACUGAAGAACCCUUUGGAAAACAAAGUAGCCAUUAGCCAAUAGGGUUGAAGAAAGCUCAAUUUUUGGAAAUCUUUCAAUUAUGCUGAUUGUUGAUUGUGUUUUGGCACUUUAG